UCUGUCAGCUCCUUAUUCCCAGCCCUUUGGAGCCAUACCUCAGUUCAGCUUAGUGAAAGAGGGCGAUGCCACAGUGGGGCUGUUGGUAUUGCACAUACAUAUUCUUUGGACAUGCUUCCAAUUUCUUUUGCUGCAAAUGGGUAAUUUAGCAGAAGAUGAAACAAAGAAAUAACUUUAUGUAUGGCAUACGAAGGUUCACUUGCUGUCAAACACAGGUGGGCAUGCAGCUAACUGAUUGCCUGGGACUAGCCCUUUUUGUGUGGCUGAGACGUUUGCAUAAGUAUAUGUCUGUAUCUAUCCUGCAAGGAUUAUGUGGUGUACUUGAAAGCAUUUAGAAAUGGUUUUGUUGUCUUUUUGUUGUCUUCUAACAGGGGAGGUGGUGGUGGGAUGCCAUUGUCCAGGUAGGUCAGUGGAAGGAAAGGAUGAAUGGUGAGCACUGUGGUCAGUUCUUCAAACUUCUGUGAAGAAGGCGGUACUGGCAGAAGUGAGGGCAUGACUUGCCAUUCUUAUUUUAGUACUUACUUUAGGAGUAUCAGGUCAGCUAACCUCUCUGCUCUUUGUUGAUUUCUUUUACAGAUUGACACUCCCCCAGCAGCUUCCUCGCUGCUGUGGGGAACAGCCUUCUAGAACAUACCUUUCCAGUAGGUUCUGCCUGAGGCUCCAGCUUUGCCUAAGCAAUCCUGCAUGCUUUUGCUCUUGUUCUGUGCUGCAUCUCCUGUGAUUAUUCCUGCUCAGACAGCACCGCACUGCAAGUGAUGUUCCAAAGUUACUCAGGUAAUGCUGCUGUGAGCUGUCUUCCUGCCAGCCAGGUUUCUAAGCUGAGUUGAAAGCAGACUUCCAAGAGAAACCAGCUCUCAAAAACUCCCAUUGUGACUCAGUGGUAAGACCUACGGUAAGAGGAAUAUUGGAAAUUCAAGCCAUUUAUUUUGGACUAUAAAUGCAGUGUAAGCUUUUAGAGGCAGUUUGCUCUGUUCCAGUACAAAGCAGCACAUGAGUAUUUGAAAUACAGAGUUCAAGCACUGAAGAUGUUCUCAGUGUGACGUAGAAAUUCAUAUGCUGAAACCGCAGCUGUAGCUGUGAGGGCUGGCCCCUUCCAGAACACAGGAAGCACCAGCAGCUGCCUGUCAAAAAACUGCCUGGAAUGAGAUCUGGAAUAAUUCUUCCAGUUUGCUGGAAUUGAGGCAAAUGGAGCGGCAGGCCAGGCAGGCACUGCACAUCUAAAUGAGGCACUGUUCAGUCAGGCACCACUGAAAGGACUGCUCCAUGGCCAAGGUACUGCUUCCCAUGAAUAAGGGCACAAAAGCUUGGGGCUAAUGAGAAGCACAGCAUUAGAGUGUUUGUUUUAAGGACAGUGGCUCAUUCUGCAGGCUGUGGUACCAGGCAAGGGAAAUUCUGUCUGGGGUCAGGAGUCUCCCAAAGGAAGUGGCUUCUGUUUGCACUGAAUAUGUAACUGCUCUUGGCAGAGAUGACAGAACAUGAGCCUGCUCUGAAGUCCAUUGAAAUCAGCAGGAGCCUCUCUGUGUGCGUGGAAUAUCCUUGAAAGGACAAGCACAACACUUGGCUGAAGUACAUAGAAGGGACUACUUGGAGAAAUUCACGGGGAGGAAAAGGAUGCAGAAUGUGUCCUAAGGCUCUGCUGGAAAGUGUUGCCCUGCUCAGACCCGCCGAGUGAGCAGAGGGGUGAUUUGUGCAGUGCUCUUUAGGAAGUUGAGGGUUUAAACCUCUGUGAAGAAGUUGUCAGAGAAAUAUCUGACAUGGCUUGGAACAUGCAAAGGAUUGGUUUGGGGUUGUUGUGGAUUUGGGGUUUCAUUCUGAUGGGAAAAGAUCUUGCAAAAGGCUUGUUUUUUUCCCUUGAUGCUUCAUGAGACUUCAGUUUCGUUUUGAGGGAGGAUGGGCAAUAGCAUAGGCUGUUCUUCUGUGGAAAUAGUGCAUUUACUGUGGGAAGUUUAAAUGCAAUGAGCAGGAAGAUGGCUUUU